UACGGGGGGGGCAAGCGUUGUUCGGAAUUACUGGGCGUAAAGGGGACGUAGGCGGCCAACUAAGUCCGACGUGAAAUCCCAAGGCUUAACCUUGGAACUGCGUCGGAUACUGGAUGGCUUGAAUUCGGGAGAGGGAUGCAGAAUUCCAGGUGUAGCGGUGAAAUGCGUAGAGAUGCGGAAGAACACCAGUGGCGAAGGCGGUCAACUGGCCUCAUAUUGACACUCAGACGCGAAGGCAUGGGUAGCGAACGGG
rnacentral:rRNA from 1 species